rnacentral:piRNA from 1 species
UGGCAUGGAUCAAAUACUUCUCACUCUCGA